CCCACUCCGCCAGCCUUUGAAAACAGCCAACAUCUUUAUGAACCCCACACUGAGUUCAUAGCCUGUGGGCACCAACUUCAAGGGCUGGGCCCGGCUUCUUGUCCACCGUGAGGCUUCUCCCCACCCUCCAGAAACACUGGGUGCCAGACUCCCAGGUCCACUGCUCUCUCCAGCCCUGUGACCUCAGCUUCCCAUCCUGGGAGCACGCGGUCCAUGUCUGUGCUGGCAUACUGAAAGAGGCGGUUGGCGCUGUUGAAGAUGAUGAGGGCGAUCUCACAGUCACAGAGCACGCUCAGCUCAUAGGCCUUCUUCAUCAGCCCGAACUUGCGCUUGGUAAAUGUCACCUGGACCCAGGAACCACAGGUGGGGUGGGGAAAGACAAGGACUUGGGGUGGUGUGGAGGAGUUGGAGAGGCCUAAUUGUUCCCUGAGCAUGCCUCAUGAUGCUGUGCCUUUGUGGGUGCUGUUCUUUCUGGCUGUACUGCAUCUUCCUCCUCACUGCUCAACCUGGCAAGCUCCUAUUGGUGCUUCAAAACCCAGCCCAAAUAUCUCCUCCUUUGCUAGGUUUUUCUUGGCCUCCCAGGCAGAGCCCACACUCCCUCUCUGAGCUUCCCCAGUUCUGCACCUCCCUCUGGCCCAGUUGCCUGAGGUGGGUGUGUUAGUAUCAAGCUCCAUCUGCCCUCUGACUGGAGCACUAGUCCAGGGAGAAUAAAUGAAUAAAUCAUCAUGAAAUGA